rnacentral:rRNA from 1 species
GAUGAACGCUGGCGGCGUGCUUAACACAUGCCAGUCGAACGGAAAGGCCCAAGCUUGCUUGGGUACUCGAGUGGCGAACGGGUGAGUAACACGUGGGUGAUCUGCCCUGCACUUCGGGAUGAGCCUGGGAAACUGGGUCUAAUACUGGAUAGGACCACUUCUUGGAUGUUGUGGUGGAAAGUUUUUUCGGUGUGGGAUGAGCUCGCGGCCUAUCAGCUUGUUGGUGGGGUAAUGGCCUACCAAGGCGUCGACGGGUAGCCGGCCUGAGAGGGUGUACGGCCACAUUGGGACUGAGAUACGGCCCAGACUCCUACGGGAGGCAGCAGUGGGGAAUAUUGCACAAUGGGCGCAAGCCUGAUGCAGCGACGCCGCGUGGGGGAUGACGGCCUUCGGGUUGUAAACUCCUUUCGCUAGGAACGAAGCGUUUUGUGACGGGACCUGGAGAAGAAGCACCGGCUAACUACGU